CAGAGGGCCGUCUCACACUGCUGAGUCUUUCAGCAACAGUAGAACACACCUGACUCUCCUCCACCAGUCACACAAGGAGAAUGGUCUAAUGCCUCCCAUCAAAAAGAGAGCUGGCCCAAGCAAGUACAGGUUACACCUGAAGCAUGGGGACUUGCAGCGAGUGGUGAACUUUAUCAACAAAUACGCAGAGGACAAUGACAUAGUAUUGCCAGAACGACACCAAGGACACAAACACUUUGGAGGCAAGCUACUGCCAUCCCAUGUGGCAAAAGCAGCAGUGUGGCGUCUCACCAAGUGUUGUCAUUGAUUCCUUGUAAUGUAAAGCAUAAACACAUUUUGAUUAUUUAAUUGACCUCCAACAUGAUUGGCACUACUUUUAUUGAUCUCACAUUAUUUCUGUAUUUUCCAG
rnacentral:lncRNA from 1 species